UACGUAGGGGGCAAGCGUUGUCCGGAAUCAUUGGGCGUAAAGCGCGUGUAGGCGGUUCGAUAAGUCUGCUGUGAAAAGUCCGAGGGCUCAACCCUGGAAAGCCGGUGGAUACUGUCGGACUAGAGUGCGGAAGAAGGCGAGUGGAAUUCCCGGUGUAGCGGUGAAAUGCGCAGGAUAUCGGGAGGAACACCAAUUGCGAAGGCAGCUCGCUGGGAACGUUACUGGACGCUGGAGACAGCGAA
rnacentral:rRNA from 1 species